UACGAAGGGGGCUAGCGUUGUUCGGAAUUACUGGGCGUAAAGCGCGCGUAGGCGGUGAUCCAUGUCAGAGGUGAAAUCCUGGGGCUCAACUCCAGAAUUGCCUUUGAAACGGGAUCGCUAGAGUCCGAGAGAGGAUGGCGGAAUUCCUAGUGUAGAGGUGAAAUUCGUAGAUAUUAGGAAGAACACCGGUGGCGAAGGCGGCCAUCUGGCUCGGUACUGACGCUCAGGCGCGAAAGCGUGGGGAGCAAACAGG
rnacentral:rRNA from 1 species